UAGGGUUAAAAACAGGGAUUUCCAUGAAAAUAAGCGAUAUUUUAGGGAAAAACAGGGAUUUCUAUGAAAAUAAGCGAUAUUUUAGGGGAAAAAACAGGGAUUUCUAUGAAAAUAAGCGAUAUUUUAGGGGAAAAACAGGGAUUUCUAUGAAAAUAAGCGAUAUUUUAGGGUUAAAAACAGGGAUUUCUAUGAAAAUAAGCGAUAUUUUAGGGUUAAAAACAGGGAUUUCUAUGAAAAUAAGCGAUAUUUUAGGGGAAAAACAGGGAUUUCUAUGAAAAUAAGCGAUAUUUUAGGGUUAAAAACAGGGAUUUCCAUGAAAAUAAGCGAUAUUUUAGGGUUAAAAACAGGGAUUUCCAUGAAAAUAAGCAAUAUUUUAGGGUUAAAAACAGGGAUUUCUAUGAAAAUAAGCGAUAUUUUAGGGUUAAAAACAGGGAUUUCCAUGAAAAUAAGCGAUAUUUUAGGGGAAAAACAGGGAUUUCCAUGAAAAUAAGCGAUAUUUUAGGGUUAAAAACAGGGAUUUCUAUGAAAAUAAGCGAUAUUUUAGGUUAAAAACAGGGAUUUCUAUGAAAAUAAGCGAUAUUUUAGGGUUAAAAACAGGGAUUUCUAUGAAAAUAAGCGAUAUUUUAGGGUUAAAAACAGGGAUUUCUAUGAAAAUAAGCGAUAUUUUAGGUUAAAAACAGGGAUUUCUAUGAAAAUAAGCGAUAUUUUAGGGUUAAAAACAGGGAUUUCUAUGAAAAUAAGCGAUAUUUUAGUGGGAAAAACAGGGAUUUCUAUGAAAAUAAGUGAUAUUUUAGGGUUAAAAACAGGGAUUUCCAUGAAAAUAAGCGAUAUUUUAUGUUAAAAACAGGGAUUUCUAUGAAAAUAAGCGAUAUUUUAGGGGAAAAACAGGGAUUUCUAUGAAAAUAAGCGAUAUUUUAUGUUAAAAACAGGGAUUUCUAUGAAAAUAAGCGAUAUUUUAGGGGAAAAACAGGGAUUUCUAUGAAAAUAAGCGAUAUUUUAGGGGAAAAACA